AGCGAACGCUGGCGGCAGGCUUAACACAUGCAAGUCGAGCGGGCGUAGCAAUACGUCAGCGGCAGACGGGUGAGUAACGCGUGGGAACGUACCUUUUGGUUCGGAACAACACAGGGAAACUUGUGCUAAUACCGGAUAAGCCCUUACGGGGAAAGAUUUAUCGCCGAAAGAUCGGCCCGCGUCUGAUUAGCUAGUUGGUGAGGUAACGGCUCACCAAGGCGACGAUCAGUAGCUGGUCUGAGAGGAUGAUCAGCCACAUUGGGACUGAGACACGGCCCAAACUCCUACGGGAGGCAGCAGUGGGGAAUAUUGGACAAUGGGGGCAACCCUGAUCCAGCCAUGCCGCGUGAGUGAUGAAGGCCCUAGGGUUGUAAAGCUCUUUUGUGCGGGAAGAUAAUGACGGUACCGCAAGAAUAAGCCCCGGCUAACUUCGUGCCAGCAGCCGCGGUAAUACGAAGGGGGCUAGCGUUGCUCGGAAUCACUGGGCGUAAAGGGUGCGUAGGCGGGUCUUUAAGUCAGAGGUGAAAUCCUGGAGCUCAACUCCAGAACUGCCUUUGAUACUGAGGAUCUUGAGUUCGGGAGAGGUGAGUGGAACUGCGAGUGUAGAGGUGAAAUUCGUAGAUAUUCGCAAGAACACCAGUGGCGAAGGCGGCUCACUGGCCCGAUACUGACGCUGAGGC
rnacentral:rRNA from 1 species